ensembl:misc_RNA Metazoa_SRP Metazoan signal recognition particle RNA
GCUAGGCGUGGUGGCGCGUGCCUGUAGUCCCAACUACUCGGGAGGCUGAAGUGGGAGAAUCGCUUGAGCCCAGGAGUUCUGGGCUGUAGUGCACUGUACAGAUCGGGUGUCCGCACUAAGUUCGGCAUCAGUAUGGCGACCUCCCAGGAGCUGGGGACCACCAGGUUGCCUAAAGAGGGGUGAACCGGCCUAGGUCAGAAACUGAGCAGGUCAAACCUCUGGUGCUGAUCAGUAGUGAGAUUGCGCCUGUGAAUAGCCACUGCACUCCAGCCUAGGCAACAUAGCAAGAUCCCAUCUCUA